rnacentral:rRNA from 1 species
AGAGUUUGAUCCUGGCUCAGAACGAACGCUGGCGGCGUGCCUGAGACAUGCAAGUCGUGGGAGAAAGUCGUAGCAAUACGGCAAGUAAACCGGCGCACGGGUGAGUAACACGUGGACAACCUGCCUUAGAGUCUGGGAUAACCCGUCGAAAGACGAGCUAAUACCGGAUAAGACCACGGGAAGUUCGCUUCCUGAGGUAAAAGAUGGCCUCUGCUCCUGCAAGCUAUCACUUUGAGAGGGGUCCGCGCCCUAUCAGCUAGUUGGCGAGGUAACGGCUCACCAAGGCUAAGGCGGGUAGCUGGUCUGAGAGGAUGGUCAGCCACACUGGGACUGAGACACGGCCCAGAGUCCUACGGGAUGCAGCAGUCAGGAAUAUUGCGCAAUGGAGGAAACUCUGACGCAGCGACGCCGCGUGGGUGAUGAA